CCUUUGUUACUAAGGAUGUAUAUUAUGUUUCUCGGAAAGACAAACGUGUUUAAGAUAUCAGUUCAUAGACUAGGCUAGAUCGAAUAAGAAGCAUCAGAAUGUUGUCCAAAGCUUUUUUAUUUGUAACAUUCAGUCUUAUUUCAGUAAGUUUCUGUGGUAAAUACUGCAAGGACUAUGAUACCUAUGGCUUUACACGGACCCCUAAAUAUUGUGAUAACGGAUGUUGUGGUGGAACGUCCAAUGACAGAACGCCAUGUUGUGACAGCAGCAAUGGUGGAGCAGCAGCAGCAGGGGGUGUGAUAACAACUCUAAUUGUGAUAGCUGUUAUAUGUGUUGUCAUCUACCGAGUCAGAUUCAGGACAAGCAGAGUUGAAGUGAUCCAAAAUUCUGCACCAAGUACCAGUGUAACUAUAGCUACAACACAACAAACCGUUUCCCAAACGCCCCAGUACAACCCACCACCUGUUCAGCCGCAGUACUAUCAUCCAGGACAACCAACCUAUCCACCUCCAUACAGUACUGGAACAUCACACAGCUAUUCUAAAACACAAUACAUGUAAGCAUGUACUAUUUGCUCAACGUUACUUAGCGAUUGUACUAAUACUAUGUGUUACUGAAUGUUUAUAUUCCAUAUUCGAGAUAAUCACCAUGCAUACUGUUACUAAAUAAAAUUUUGCAACAAUCUAAAUCUCUUUUUUACGGACUAAAAUUUUGCAAUUAUGUAAAUCUUUUUUCUACAUGUGUGUUCAGAAUAAUCACCAUGUGAUUUUACAACAAUAUGUUUUAUACCCAAGAUAAUCCCCAUAUAGUGUUCUUGAAUAAAAGUAUGCAAUAGUU